GACGUAGGAUGCAAGCGUUGUCCGGAUUCAUUGGGCGUAAAGAGUUCGUAGGUGGUCUGUUAAGUCUGGUGUUAAAGAGCGGGGCCCAACCCCGAUAGUGCACUGGAUACUGGCAGACUUGAGUGCGUUAGAGGUUAGUGGAAUUCCCAGUGUAGCGGUGAAAUGCAUAGAUAUUGGGAAGAACACCGGUGGCGUAAGCGACUAACUGGGACGUAACUGACACUGAGGAACGAAAGCCGGGGUAGCGAAUGGG
rnacentral:rRNA from 1 species